AUUCCUAGCUUGCUAGGAGAUGACGAGCGGCGGACGGGUGAGUAAUGCUUGGGAAUAUGCCUUAUGGUGGGGGACAACAGUUGGAAACGACUGCUAAUACCGCAUAACGUCUACGGACCAAAGGAGGGGAUCUUCGGACCUUCCGCCAUUUGAUUAGCCCAAGUGAGAUUAGCUAGUUGGUGAGGUAAUGGCUCACCAAGGCGACGAUCUCUAGCUGGUUUGAGAGGAUGAUCAGCCACACUGGGACUGAGACACGGCCCAGACUCCUACGGGAGGCAGCAGUGGGGAAUAUUGCACAAUGGGCGAAAGCCUGAUGCAGCCAUGCCGCGUGUGUGAAGAAGGCCUUCGGGUUGUAAAGCACUUUCAGUUGUGAGGAAAGGGAUGUAGUUAAUAACUGCAUUCUGUGACGUUAACAACAGAAGAAGCACCGGCUAACUUCGUGCCAGCAGCCGCGGUUAAUACGAGGGGUGCAAGCGUUAAUC
rnacentral:rRNA from 1 species